rnacentral:rRNA from 1 species
GGUGCCUACGGGGCGCAGCAGUGGGGAAUAUUGCACAAUAGGGGAAACCCUGAUGCAGCGACGCCGCGUGAGUGAAGAAGUAUUUCGGUACGUAAAGCUCUAUCAGCAGGGAAGAAAAUGACGGUACCUGACUAAGAAGCCCCGGCUAACUACGUGCCAGCAGCCGCGGUAAUACGUAGGGGGCAAGCGUUAUCCGGAUUUACUGGGUGUAAAGGGAGCGUAGACGGCGCGGCAAGUCCGAAGUGAAAGGCAGGGGCUUAACCCCUGAACUGCUUUGGAAACUGCCAUGCUAGAGUGCUGGAGAG